CUGACUUCCUCGUUGGUCUCCUGCAGAUGCCACUUCUUCUCCUCCAAAACCAAGGCUGCUGGUUCUUGGGCGACAUCAUAUUCUGAAGCCUGGCUCCCGUGACGUGAGUGUGAUGUAAAAGGAGAGAGACUCUGAAGAAAAUAUUAAAUUCAAAUGUAUGAAAGCC